rnacentral:rRNA from 1 species
GGCUCAGGAUGAACGCUGGCGGCGUGCUUAACACAUGCAAGUCGAACGAAGCCAAAAGGAAGCUUGCUUCUUGAAGCUUAGUGGCGGACGGGUGAGUAACGCGUGAGGAACCUGCCCUUCAGUGGGGAAUAACAGCCGGAAACGACUGCUAAUACCGCAUAACGUCGGAGUGCCGCAUGACACACCGACCAAAGGAUUUAUUCGCUGAAGGAUGGCCUCGCGUCCGAUUAGGCAGUUGGUGAGGUAACGGCCCCACCAAACCUACGAUCGGUAGCCGAACUGAGAGGUUGAUCGGCCACAUUGGGACUGAGACACGGCCCAGACUCCUACGGGAGGCAGCAGUGGGGAAUAUUGGGCAAUGGGCGAAAGCCCUGACCCAGCAACGCCGCGUGAAGGAAGACGGUCUUCGGAUUGUAAACUUCUUUGAUUGGGGAAGAACACAAUGACCUACCCAAAGAACAAGUCACGGCUAACUACGUGCCAGCCGCCGC